rnacentral:rRNA from 1 species
GACGAACGCUGGCGGCGUGCUUAACACAUGCAAGUCGAACGGAAAGGCCCUGCUUUUGUGGGGUGCUCGAGUGGCGAACGGGUGAGUAACACGUGAGUAACCUGCCCUUGACUUUGGGAUAACUUCAGGAAACUGGGGCUAAUACCGGAUAGGAGCUCCUGCUGCAUGGUGGGGGUUGGAAAGUUUCGGCGGUUGGGGAUGGACUCGCGGCUUAUCAGCUUGUUGGUGGGGUAGUGGCUUACCAAGGCAUUGACGGGUAGCCGGCCUGAGAGGGUGACCGGCCACAUUGGGACUGAGAUACGGCCCAGACUCCUACGGGAGGCAGCAGUGGGGAAUAUUGCACAAUGGGCGGAAGCCUGAUGCAGCAACGCCGCGGGCGGGAUGACGGCCUUCGGGUUGUAAACCGCUUUCGCCUGUGACGAAGCGUGAGUGACGGUAAUGGGUAAAGAAGCACCGGCUAACUACGUG